UUAUGUUGUAUUAGAAUUCACAUAACUGCAAUUAAAAACUAAAAUAUAAAUAUAGUUGCUUUUAAUGUGACUUAUAGGUGAAACAUAUUGCCUUCAAGAAAAUGUCUCAACUCGAGUAGAUGAAAAAUGGUUUAGCCUGAACAUUUAGAAGAGUGAAAAUACAUCAAAGGCCUAAGGAAAUGUCAUUGAAGGAAAUAACAGUAACUGCCUGCAGAACAUAACAGGUUUCAUUUUGAAAUAGAUUUUCAGCUUCAGGUGCCAAGGCAGAAGCCCCAAGAUGUCUCUAGAAUCCUCUCAGCCAACAGUUCUUGUCCCACAAGCCUCUGCUCUUCAAACUGCCACUCCACUCCUGUCAGACAUUCUCAGAAUUCCAAACCUCUCUUAUCUCAUCUUAACAUAUGAUAAGCCAGUUGGCAUGCUGCCAUUUUAA
rnacentral:lncRNA from 1 species